rnacentral:rRNA from 1 species
CAGUCGCCGCGGUAAUACGAAGGGGGCGAGCGUUAUUCGGAAUCACUGGGCGUAAAGCGUGCGUAGGCGGUUCUAAAAGUUAGAAGUGAAAGCCCAGGGCUUAACCCUGGAAUUGCUUUUAAAACUAUAGGACUAGAAUUCGGGAGAGGAUAGCGGAAUUGUCAGUGUAGCAGUGAAAUGCGUAGAUAUUGACAGGAACACCAGUGGCGUAAGCGGCUAUCUGGACCGACAUUGACGCUGAGGCGCGAAAGCGUGGGGAUCAAACAGGAUUAGAUACCCGAGUAGUCCCUGUCUCUUAUAC